GAUGAACGCUAGCGGAAGGCUUAAUACAUGCAAGUCGAGCGGUAGUCCCUUUCGGGGGAUGAGAGCGGCGCACGGGUGAGUAACGCGUACAUGACCUGCCUAUCAGAAGGGGAUAGCCCUGGGAAACUGGGAUUAAUACCCUAUGGCAUUGUAUUUUUAAAUGGAUACAAUUAAAGCUGAGGCGCUGAUAGAUGGAUGUGCGUCUGAUUAGCUAGUUGGUGGGGUAAAGGCCCACCAAGGCGACGAUCAGUAGGGGGCGUGAGAGCGUGGUCCCCCAAACGGGUACUGAGACACGGACCCGACUCCUACGGGAGGCAGCAGUAAGGAAUAUUGGUCAAUGCCCGCAAGGGUGAACCAGCCAUUCCGCGUGGAGGAUGAAGGCCCUAUGGGUUGUAAACUUCUUUUAGAUGGGAAGAAAAUGCUUUGUUUACAAGGUACUGACGGUACCAUCAGAAUAAGCACCGGCUAACUCCGUGCCAGCAGCCGCCGUAA
rnacentral:rRNA from 1 species